rnacentral:rRNA from 1 species
GACGAACGCUGGCGGCGUGCUUAACACAUGCAAGUCGAACGGAAAGGCCCUGCUUUUGUGGGGUGCUCGAGUGGCGAACGGGUGAGUAACACGUGAGUAACCUGCCCUUGACUUUGGGAUAACUUCAGGAAACUGGGGCUAAUACCGGAUAGGAGCUCCUGCUGCAUGGUGGGGGUUGGAAAGUUUCGGCGGUAGGGGAUGGACUCGCGGCUUAUCAGCUUGUUGGUGGGGUAGUGGCUGACCAAGGCUUUGACGGGUAGCCGGCCUGAGAGGGUGACCGGCCACAUUGGGACUGAGGUAGGGCCCAGACUCCUACGGGAGGCAGCAGUGGGGAAUAUUGCACAAUGGGCGGAAGCCUGAUGCAGCAACGCCGCGUGCGGGAUGACGGCCUUUGGGUUGUAAACCGCUUUCGCCUGUGACGAAGCGUGAGUGACGGUAAUGGGUAAAGAAGCACCGGCUAACUACGUG